rnacentral:rRNA from 1 species
GAUGAACGCUAGCGGCAGGCCUAACACAUGCAAGUCGAACGAAGUCUUCGGACUUAGUGGCGGACGGGUGAGUAACACGUGGGAACGUACCUUUUGGUUCGGAACAACUCAGGGAAACUUGAGCUAAUACCGGAUGAGCCCUUAGGGGGAAAGAUUUAUCGCGGAAAGAGCGGCCCGCGUUAGAUUAGCUAGUGGGUGGGGUAAAGGCUCACCAAGGCUACGAUCUAUAGCUGGUCUGGGAGGAUGAUCAGCCACACUGGGACUGAGACACGGCCCAGACUCCUACGGGAGGCAGCAUUGGGGAAUCUUGCGCAAUGGGCGAAAGCCUGACGCAGCCAUGCCGCGUGAAUGAUGAAGGUCUUAGGGUUGUAAAAUUCUUUUACCAGGGACGAUAAUGACGGUACCUGGAGAAAAAGCCCCGGCUAACUUCGUGCCAGCAGCCGCCGUAACAC